GGAGAGGUGACUGAGUGGUUUAAAGUAUCAAAUUGCUAAUUUGACAUAUAUAUAUAAGAAGUAUAUAUAACAAGGGUUCAAAUCCCUUUCUCUCCU
rnacentral:tRNA from 1 species